rnacentral:rRNA from 1 species
UACGGGAGGCAGCAGUGGGGAAUAUUGCACAAUGGGCGCAAGCCUGAUGCAGCCAUGCCGCGUGUAUGAAGAAGGCCUUCGGGUUGUAAAGUACUUUCAGUCGUGAGGAAGGUGUUAAGGUUAAUAACCUUAGCAAUUGACGUUAGCGACAGAAGAAGCACCGGCUAACUCCGUGCCAGCAGCCGCGGUAAUACGGAGGGUACGAGCGUUAAUCGGAAUUACUGGGCGUAAAGGGCACGCAGGCGGUUAAUUAAGUUGGAUGUGAAAUCCCCGGGCUUAACCUGGGAAUGGCAUUCAAGACUGGUUAGCUAGAGUCUUGUAGAGGGGGUAGAAUUCCAUGUGUAGCGGUGAAAUGCGUAGAGAUGUGGAGGAAUACCGGUGGCGAAGGCGGCCCCUGGACAAAGACUGACGCUCAUGUGCGAAAGCGUGGGGAGCAAACGAGGAUUAGACUACC